rnacentral:rRNA from 1 species
CAGACUGUGAUCCGGAGAUGUCUGAAUGGGGGAACCCAGCCAUCAUAAGAUGGUUAUCUUACACUGAAUACAUAGGUGUAAGAGGCGAACCAGGGGAACUGAAACAUCUAAGUACCCUGAGGAAAAGAAAUCAACCGAGAUUCCCUUAGUAGUGGCGAGCGAACGGGGACCAGCCCUUAAGUUGUAUUGAGAUUAGCGGAACGCUCUGGAAAGUGCGGCCAUAGUGGGUGAUAGCCCUGUACGCGAAAAUCCCUUUGCAAUGAAAUCGAGUAGGACGGGGCACGAGAAACCUUGUCUGAAUAUGGGGGGACCAUCCUCCAAGGCUAAAUACUACUGACUGACCGAUAGUGAACCAGUACCGUGAGGGAAAGGCGAAAAGAACCGCGGAGAGCGGAGUGAAAUAGAUCCUGAAACCGUAUGCGUACAAGCAGUGGGAGCCCACUUUGUUGGGUGACUGCGUACCUUUUGUAUAAUGGGUCAGCGACUUAUUUUCAGUGGCGAGCUUAACCGAAUAGGGGAGGCGUAGCGAAAGCGAGUCUUAAUAGGGCGUCUAGUCGCUGGGAAUAGACCCGAAACCGGGCGAUCUAUCCAUGGGCAGGUUGAAGGUUGGGUAACACUAACUGGAGGACCGAACCGACUACCGUUGAAAAGUUAGCGGAUGACCUGUGGAUCGGAGUGAAAGGCUAAUCAAGCUCGGAGAUAGCUGGUUCUCCUCGAAAGCUAUUUAGGUAGCGCCUCAUGUAUCACUGUAGGGGGUAGAGCACUGUUUCGGCUAGGGGGUCAUCCCGACUUACCAAACCGAUGCAAACUCCGAAUACCUACAAGUGCCGAGCAUGGGAGACACACGGCGGGUGCUAACGUCCGUCGUGAAAAGGGAAACAACCCAGACCGUCAGCUAAGGUCCCAAAGUCAUGGUUAAGUGGGAAACGAUGUGGGAAGGCUUAGACAGCUAGGAGGUUGGCUUAGAAGCAGCCACCCUUUAAAGAAAGCGUAAUAGCUCACUAGUCGAGUCGGCCUGCGCGGAAGAUGUAACGGGGCUCAAACCAUGCACCGAAGCUACGGGUAUCAUCUUAUGAUGAUGCGGUAGAGGAGCGUUCUGUAAGCCUGUGAAGGUGAGUUGAGAAGCUUGCUGGAGGUAUCAGAAGUGCGAAUGCUGACAUGAGUAACGACAAUGGGUGUGAAAAACACCCACGCCGAAAGACCAAGGUUUCCUGCGCAACGUUAAUCGACGCAGGGUUAGUCGGUCCCUAAGGCGAGGCUGAAAAGCGUAGUCGAUGGAAAACAGGUUAAUAUUCCUGUACUUCUGGUUAUUGCGAUGGAGGGACGGAGAAGGCUAGGCCAGCCUGGCGUUGGUAGUCCAGGUUUAAGGUGGUAGGCUGAGAUCUUAGGUAAAUCCGGGAUCUUAAGGCCGAGAGCUGAUGACGAGUGUUCUUUUAGAACAUGAAGUGGUUGAUGCCAUGCUUCCAAGAAAAGCUUCUAAGCUUCAGGUAACCAGGAACCGUACCCCAAACCGACACAGGUGGUUGGGUAGAGAAUACCAAGGCGCUUGAGAGAACUCGGGUGAAGGAACUAGGCAAAAUGGCACCGUAACUUCGGGAGAAGGUGCGCCGGUGAGGGUGAAGCAUUUACUGCGUAAGCCCACGCCGGUCGAAGAUACCAGGCCGCUGCGACUGUUUAUUAAAAACACAGCACUCUGCAAACACGAAAGUGGACGUAUAGGGUGUGACGCCUGCCCGGUGCCGGAAGGUUAAUUGAUGGGGUUAGCGCAAGCGAAGCUCUUGAUCGAAGCCCCGGUAAACGGCGGCCGUAACUAUAACGGUCCUAAGGUAGCGAAAUUCCUUGUCGGGUAAGUUCCGACCUGCACGAAUGGCGUAACGAUGGCGGCGCUGUCUCCACCCGAGACUCAGUGAAAUUGAAAUCGCUGUGAAGAUGCAGUGUAUCCGCGGCUAGACGGAAAGACCCCGUGAACCUUUACUAUAGCUUUGCACUGGACUUUGAAUUUGCUUGUGUAGGAUAGGUGGGAGGCUUUGAAGCGUGGACGCCAGUCUGCGUGGAGCCAACCUUGAAAUACCACCCUGGCAACUUUGAGGUUCUAACUCAGGUCCGUUAUCCGGAUCGAGGACAGUGUAUGGUGGGUAGUUUGACUGGGGCGGUCUCCUCCUAAAGAGUAACGGAGGAGUACGAAGGUGCGCUCAGACCGGUCGGAAAUCGGUCGUAGAGUAUAAAGGCAAAAGCGCGCUUGACUGCGAGACAGACACGUCGAGCAGGUACGAAAGUAGGUCUUAGUGAUCCGGUGGUUCUGUAUGGAAGGGCCAUCGCUCAACGGAUAAAAGGUACUCCGGGGAUAACAGGCUGAUACCGCCCAAGAGUUCAUAUCGACGGCGGUGUUUGGCACCUCGAUGUCGGCUCAUCACAUCCUGGGGCUGAAGCCGGUCCCAAGGGUAUGGCUGUUCGCCAUUUAAAGUGGUACGCGAGCUGGGUUUAGAACGUCGUGAGACAGUUCGGUCCCUAUCUGCCGUGGACGUUUGAGAUUUGAGAGGGGCUGCUCCUAGUACGAGAGGACCGGAGUGGACGAACCUCUGGUGUUCCGGUUGUCACGCCAGUGGCAUUGCCGGGUAGCUAUGUUCGGAAAAGAUAACCGCUGAAAGCAUCUAAGCGGGAAACUUGCCUCAAGAUGAGAUCUCACUGGAACCUUGAGUUCCCUGAAGGGCCGUCGAAGACUACGACGUUGAUAGGUUGGGUGUGUAAGCGCUGUGAGGCGUUGAGCUAACCAAUACUAAUUGCCCGUGAGGCUUGACCAUAUAACACCCAAGCAAUU